UACAGAGGGUGCAAGCGUUAAUCGGAAUUACUGGGCGUAAAGCGUGCGUAGGCGGUUUGUUAAGUCUGUCGUGAAAGCCCUGGGCUCAACCUGGGAAUUGCGAUGGAUACUGGCAAGCUAGAGUACGGUAGAGGAUGGUGGAAUUCCCGGUGUAGCGGUGAAAUGCGUAGAGAUCGGGAGGAACACCCGUGGCGAAGGCGGCCAUCUGGACCAGUACUGACGCUGAGGCACGAAAGCGUGGGGAAGCAAACAGGGAUUAAGAAACCCU
rnacentral:rRNA from 1 species